GGCGCUCUCUAGUGGCCAACCGAAAUCGGCAAAUAAACAAACAGCAGCGAUGGCUCAAGCGAAGGACACGCACAAAUGGACACCACAGGAGACCAGACGGCUCAUUAAUUUCAGGGCGACCAGGGACAAUGAGUUCCUAAAAUCGAAAAUGAUCGCCAGAAAACUGGGAGCUUUUUCUGGAAGAAAUGGGGGUGGAGGGGAAAGUGACCAGUCAACAGGCUUCUAAGAAGUGGGAGAACCUUAAAAAGAAGUACAAGGCCUGCUCUAUCACAGAACGCACCUUGGAUUGGCGGUAAUUAAAGCGCUGCUACACCCGCCCAAUCACCGGCUCUUUAUAGGGAGUCAACAGACAUACGGGCGUCUGGAGGCAGGGGCACCACCAUCCCCUAAAAGCAUGUAACCCGGCGGUGGAUACCUGGCAGUCAAAUAAAAAUAACUGUUUUUCAUUACCCUUGUCCUUUAUGUUUCUUGGACGGAAUGUAACUGAUAAUUUCGUUGCUCUGUAACAUGUGCAAUGACAACAAAUAAAAUCCUAUCCUAUCCUAUGGCAAUGUUUUGAUAUGUUGAGGGGAGUGUCUU